UAUCAGCACUUUCGCUACAGCGCAAAACAAGACCGUACGAAGGUUCAUCAACCAUGUUGGUUGAUCCUAGUUUUUCCUUCAUUUAUAAUCAAAAACUGAAGGAUUCACACGAUUGUUGAAUGUGCUUUACAGCGCCACAACUAUUAAAGGGAAGCUA